rnacentral:rRNA from 1 species
AUAAGCGCUGGAAACGGCGUCUAAUACUGGAUACGAGCUGCGAAGGCAUCUUCAGCAGCUGGAAAGAACUUCGGUCAAGGAUGAGCUCGCGGCCUAUCAGCUUGUUGGUGAGGUAAUGGCUCACCAAGGCGUCGACGGGUAGCCGGCCUGAGAGGGUGACCGGCCACACUGGGACUGAGACACGGCCCAGACUCCUACGGGAGGCAGCAGUGGGGAAUAUUGCACAAUGGGCGCAAGCCUGAUGCAGCAACGCCGCGUGAGGGACGACGGCCUUCGGGUUGUAAACCUCUUUUAGCAGGGAAGAAGCGAAAGUGACGGUACCUGCAGAAAAAGCACCGGCUAACUACGUGCCAGCAGCCGCGGUAAUACGUAGGGUGCAAGCGUUAUCCGGAAUUAUUGGGCGUAAAGAGCUCGUAGGCGGUUUGUCGCGUCUGCUGUGAAAUCUGGGGGCUCAACCCCCAGCCUGCAGUGGGUACGGGCAGACUAGAGUGCGGUAGGGGAGAUUGGAAUUCCUGGUGUAGCGGUGGAAUGCGCAGAUAUCAGGAGGAACACCGAUGGCGAAGGCAGAUCUCUGGGCCGUAACUGACGCUGAGGAGCGAAAGGGUGGGGAGCAAACAGGCUUAGAUACCCUGGUAGUCCACCCCGUAAACGUUGGGAACUAGUUGUGG